ACCUGGCUGGCUCAGCCAGUCACAUCAAGAGCAUGUGACUCUUGAUCUCAGGGUUGUGAGUUCAAUCCCCAUGUUGGGUG
rnacentral:tRNA from 1 species